GGGUGAUUAGUUUAAUUGGUAGAGCGUUUCGUUUACACCGAAACAGUUAAUGGUUCGAGUCCAUUAUUGCCCA
rnacentral:tRNA from 1 species